GACGAACGCUGGCGGCGUGCCUAAUACAUGCAAGUCGAACGAGGUGUUCUCGGGUGGUAACACCCUUGAUCACCUAGUGGCGAACGGGUGAGUAACACGUGAGGAACCUGCCCUGAAGACGGGGAUAACAGAAGGAAACUUCUGCUAAUACCCGAUGCCCCACCGCGUCGCAUGGUCUGGUGAGGAAAUGGAUUCCGCUUCAGGAGGGCCUCGCGCCUAUCAGCUUGUUGGUGGGGUAACGGCCCACCAAGGCUUGGACGGGUAGCUGGUCUGAGAGGACGAUCAGCCACACUGGGACUGAGACACGGCCCAGACUCCUACGGGAGGCAGCAGUAAGGAAUAUUGCGCAAUGGGCGAAAGCCUGACGCAGCAACGCCGCGUGCGGGAUGAAGGCCCUCGGGUUGUAAACCGCUUUCAGUAGGGAAGAAAAUGACGGUACCUACAGAAGAAGCCCCGGCCAACUACGUGCCAGCA
rnacentral:rRNA from 1 species